ACUGCUCAGUAACACGUAGCUAACCUACCCUCAGGACGUGGAUAACCCCGGGAAACUGGGGCUAAUCCGCGAUAGGUAUGAAGGCCUGGAAUGGUUUCAUGCCCAAUGGCACAGCAAUCAUGUUUGUUGUGCGCCUGAGGAUGGGGCUGCGGCUGAUCAGGCAGUUGGCGAGGUAACGGCUCACCAAACCUUUGACCAGUACGGGCCAUGAAAGUGGUAGCCCGGAGAUGGGCACUGAGACAGGGGCCCAGGCCCUACGGGGCGCAGCAGGCGCGAAAACUCCACACUGUACGAAAGUACGAUGGGGUUAUCUCGAGUGCAGUCCGAUAAGGGCUGCUUUUCCAUAGAGUAAUAUCCUGUGGGAAUAAGAGGGGGGCAAGACUGGUGUCAGCCGCCGCGGUAACACCAGCCCCUCGAGUGGUGGGGACUUUUAUUUGGCCUAAAGCGUCCGUAGCUGGCUGUAUCCGUCCCCCGUUAAAUCCAGCGUCCUAAACGUUGGACUGCGGGUGAUACCAUACAGCUAGAGGGUGGGAUAGGUGAGCGGUAUUUCUGGGGUAGGGGCGAAAUCCUUUGAUCCCAGGAGGACCACCAGUGGCGAAGGCUGCUUACUAGAACACGCCUGACGGUCAGGGACGAAAGCUGGGGCAGCGAACCGGAUUAGAUACCCGGGUAGUCCCAGCUGUAAACGAUGCUAGCUAGGUGUUGGGUCGGCCACGCGCCGCCCCAGUGCCGCAGGGAAGCCGUUAAGCUAGCCGCCUGGGGAGUACGGCCGCAAGGCUGAAACUUAAAGGAAUUGGCGGGGGAGCAC
rnacentral:rRNA from 1 species